rnacentral:rRNA from 1 species
GAUGAACGCUGGCGGCGUGCUUAACACAUGCAAGUCGAACGAUGAAGCCCAGCUUGCUGGGCGGAUUAGUGGCGAACGGGUGAGUAACACGUGAGUAACCUGCCCUUGACUCUGGGAUAAGCCCGGGAAACUGGGUCUAAUACCGGAUAGGAGCGCCUGUCGCAUGACGGGUGCUGGAAAGAUCUUUCGGUCAUGGAUGGACUCGCGGCCUAUCAGCUUGUUGGUGAGGUAACGGCUCACCAAGGCGACGACGGGUAGCCGGCCUGAGAGGGUGACCGGCCACACUGGGACUGAGACACGGCCCAGACCCCUACGGGAGGCAGCAGUGGGGAAUAUUGCACAAUGGUCGAAAGCCUGAUGCAGCGACGCCGCGUGAGGGAUGACGGCCUUCGGGUUGUAAACCUCUUUCAGCAGGGAAGAAGCGAAAGUGACGGUACCUGCAGAAGAAGCACCGGCUAACUACGUG